GACGAACCGUGCGAACGUUGUUCGGAAUCACUGGGCUUAAAGGGCGCGUAGGCGGGUCGAAAAGUCCGUGGUGAAAUCCCCCCGCUCAACGGGGGAACGGCCGCGGAUACUGUCGGCCUCGAGGGGGGUAGGGGCGAGCGGAACGCUGGGUGGAGCGGUGAAAUGCGCAGAUAUCGGGAAGAACACCCGUGGCGAAGGCGGCUCUCUGGAACGCAACUGACGCUGAGACGCGAAAGCGUGGGGAGCAAACAGG
rnacentral:rRNA from 1 species